CCCCAAAGUCUGAAGCCGGUCCCCAAAGAAGUGGCACAUACAGCCUGGGCCAGAGCAGAGCUUAGAACAAAGAUGGAGAGCCAGAAAAGUGUACCUGUGACCCAGAAGGAAUGGAAAAGAUUCCACCAGAGAUUUCUCCACUCCAGACUCACCCACUGGCAACUGUGCUUGGUGUUCCAGUUCAACAACAACUUCAAACAAGACAUCUACCAGGAAUGAGGCCAGAAUCAAGAAUUAAUGCACAAAUCUAUGUUAAUCUUCAGACCCAGCAAUUUGGACCAAUCUCCCAUCCCAGAGGACUCUAUGGACCUCAGAAAAUGAAGAUUACUUAGCAAGGUGGUCUGUGACAAUGCACCGGAACAAAGUGGCAGAACGCUUCUUCCUCUUUGCGCAUUUUUCUCCCAAGCA